rnacentral:sRNA from 1 species
UAUUUUUUUUUUUUUUUGAAAUUGUCGGUAGAGAUUUUAGCUUUAUUGGUUUUUUAGAGCUGCAAAUUUUGAACUAAUUAAAAAUACAACUUUUAGAUUGCAAUGUACUUUUGAAAUAAUUUUAAUAUGAAAAUAUAAAACUAAAUGACCCAGAUGAGAAGAACAAGAGAACAGAACAACUAAUUCCGUGCACACGUCCGUCCAAUUUAAAGUACAAUCGCUCAACUGAAUUUGAGCAACAAAUCCCCAACAUGGUUUACCUACCUUCUUCCAUCUAAAUUCGAAUCA